GGACUACCGGGGUAUCUAAUCCCGUUCGCUCCCCUGGCUUUCGCGUCUCAGCGUCAGAUCAUUCCCAGCGAGCUGUUUUCACCAUUGGCGUUCCAAAUGAUAUCUACGCAUUUCACCGCUCCACCAUUUGUUCCGCUCGCCCCUGAAUGCCUCAAGAUCGCCAGUAUGCCCGGCAGUUCCACGGUUGAGCCGUGGGAUUUCACUCGGACACUUAACGACCCGCCUACACGCGCUUUAAGCCCAGUGAUUCCGCCUAACGCUUGGCACCUCUGUAUUACCGCGGCUGCUGGCAC
rnacentral:rRNA from 1 species